AUCCAGCUGACGAGUCCAAAAUAGGACGAAACGCGCAUCCUGGAU
rfam:Schistosoma mattheei strain Denwood, Zambia genome assembly, scaffold: SMTD_scaffold0000262